rnacentral:rRNA from 1 species
GACGAACCGUGCAAACGUUGUUCGGAAUCACUGGGCUUAAAGGGCGCGUAGGCGGGCAAGCAAGUCGAAGGUGAAAUCCCACGGCUCAACCGUGGAAGUGCCCCCGAUACUGCUUGUCUUGAGGGAGAUAGGGGCGUGCGGAACUUCCGGGUGGAGCGGUGAAAUGCGUAGAUAUCGGAAGGAACACCGGUGGCGAAAGCGGGCACGCUGGAUCUCUCUGACGCU